rnacentral:lncRNA from 1 species
AAACUUACUCACUUGGACAUUGAUAGUUCUAUCUAUGCAUCCAGUCUGGCAAGAGAAAGCAAGAGAAGAAGUUUUGCAGAUUUGUGGCAACAGAGCACCUGAUAUCGAUAGUAUAAAACAACUCAGAAUUGUAAGUACUUCUUUUGUUCACGCAUUAAUUUAUCAUGUUUUGUAAGCUACAGUCAACUCCUUGGAAACGAUUAUAAAUCCCUGGUUUAUGAAACUAAAUAAAUUUGCAGGUCUCAAUGAUCUUAAACGAGGUACUAAGACUAUAUCCACCUGUGAAUCUUCUGUAUCGACAUACUCUAAAGGAAACAAGCAUUCGAGGAAUGUCCAUUCCAGCUGGGUAGACCUCCUGUUACCAUUCCUGUUUCUUCACUAUGAUCCUGAGUAUUGGGGAGACAACGCAGAAGAAUUCAAACCAGAGAGAUUCUCUGAAGGAGUUUCGAAAGCAUCAAAGGAUGAAAUUGCAUUUUACCCUUUUGGUUGGGGCCCUAGAUUUUGUCUAGGCCAAAACUUUGCCUUGACUGAAGCAAAGAUGGCUCUUACUAUGAUUCUACAAAAUUUCUGGUUUGAGCUUUCACCCUCUUACACGCAUGCUCCUUGUAAUGUCAUAACUCUUCAACCACAACAUGGAGCUCCUAUUAUACUACACCAAUUAUAAGGUUUACAUAGUACUUUGGUGUCUUAGGAAGGGAAGCAACUCAGUUGAAUGAGUCACAGCAGGUUGUCCCAAUGUUUUGUUGUCAACCAGGAACAAGUUGGUGCAGUGGAGAGUGUUGUUUCUAUGCAUAAUGUUGCCAUCUGCUAUUGUAUUAAAGUGAUUAUUCCCUUUGCUUUCUUUUGGUUCUGAUGAUUGUUCAUAGUAUGUGCUUAUGAAAGCACCACCUAAUGGAGAAAGAUGCUUAUUUCCUUUAAUCUUUUAUUGUUCUCUGCUGCACUUUCUCAUCUUCCAUUGAAGGGAGAGAUUACAAGUAACUCCUGGAACUUGUCCUUUCUUUUUUGUACCCUGUAAAAUAGAUAGAUGCAUCUCAAAGAUUUGGCUUUUUAUAACUGACUUAUUAUCUGAAGACUCAAGAAAAAAAAAAAAAAAUUGGAGUUUUUUAUGGACCUUCACUGUUUAUCAGGUGCGCGAAGAACUCUGUUGUGGGUGUUCUAUGUUUUUUUUUUUUUUUUAGCCAUGAUGAUUGCAAUAAUUUAACCUCUUCAAGUUUUAAUUCUCUAAUUCUUUAACUUUUUAGAAUUGAUAUAAAUUAUAACAUAAAUAAUUAUAUUUAAAAAUUAAAAAUUAAAAAAUCUCGAGGUUUUAAGACUCACUAGUUUUAUGUCCUAUCAGAAUCCAAAAGAUUGGAACAAAACAAAAAACCAAUAGUAUUAGAUUAGGCAAGGCUAUAAACCCAAAGAAUUUGGGUUUGCAUCCUAGCCACAACUAAACUUUCUUGGACGUGUCUUUCUUUUCUUGUCUCAAGUUUCUUGAAUAAUGUUUGACACAAAAAAAAAUCAAAUUAUUGAUGGGUUUUUCUAGGGGCAAGACCUAUUAACUGGUCCUAUUAGAGAUAGAACCCACGUUACUGGGUCAUACUCGUAGUAAGAGCCAAGACUGAUGGGCUUAGUGGUGACUGAAUCCAAAGCUAUUUUGGAUUAUAUUUAUAGUUUCAACAAAAAUCAAUAAGAUAAAAGAAAAAAAAAUCAAGAGAGUAAAAAAAAAAUUAGAAUAUCUUAAAAUAUUUUAAAAAAAAUAGAUUGAGAUAAUUUUUUGUAAUUUUUUAAAUUCUAUUUUAUAUAUAAUCACAUCAAAAUAAUAAAUAAAAUAUCUUAAAAUAUUUUUUAAAAAUAGAUUGAGAUAAUUUUUUUUUAAUUUUUUAAAAUCUAUUUUAUAUAUAAUCACAUCAAAAUAAUAAAUAAAAUAUCUUAAUAUGAAUUAAGAAAAAUAUUAAUUUGAAGUGAAGAAAUAAUAAUAAUAAUAAUAAUAAUUUAUUUUACCCUUAAAAUCAAAUCUAUAUUUUUUUCUACAUCAAUAAUAUUUAUUUGAAUUUCAAUAAUAUUAAUGAAUUUAAUAAUAUUUAUAAUAGUAAUAAUAAUAUUUAACUUCUCUACCCAAUUUUUUAUAUUUUUCAAUCUUUGAAAAACAAUUUAUGCUUUCUUCGAUGAUAGUAAUAAUUUUUUUAAAAAAUCUGGUAAUGACAAUAACAAUAAUAAAAAAAAGUGAUAAUAAUUUUUAAUUUUACCCUUCAAAUCAAAUCUAUUAUUAUUUUUCAAUAUUAAAAAUAUUUUAUACAAAUUUAUUAAUUAUUAUAUGAAUACUAUUAAUUGUAAUACAAAUUAUAAUAUUUAUAAUAAAAAUAAUAGUAGGUUUAAUAUUAAUGAUAUUAAUUAUAAAAAAAUCAUAAUAUUUAUAUCACAAAUAAUAAUAUUUUUCAUACUAAUAAUAGUAAUAAUAUUUAUCAUAUUAAUAAUAGUAUUGAACUUGUUUGACCAAAGUUUUAAUAGUAAUAAGUGUUUUAAAAAAAAUUUAUUAACAAUAAUGAUAACAAUGAUAAUAAUAAUAAUUGAAAUAUUUUUUUUCAUUUUUUUUCUUUGCCCGCGCUACACUGCGGGCUUACCUUUUAUUUUAAUAAAAUAAUAUUAUAAAAAUCAAAGACCCAAAAGCGUUGGGUUUGGCUGCAACAGCAGACCCAAGAACAAUGAGUCUAGCUGCAAUGCCAUACCCAAUAAUAAUAUUUAACUUGCCUUCCAAAAUUUUUAUUUUUUAAAAUUUUAAAAAAAUUAUGGUUUUUCUUCGAUAGUAAUAAUAUAUUUUUAAAAAUAAUAAUAAUAAUAACAAUAUUUAAAACAAAAAUAAUUAUAUUUUUUAGAUUAAUACUUUAAUUAUAAUAAAAAAAUUAUAAUUAUAAUACAAAUAAUUAUAUUUAAAAACUUGGGACCCAAGAACCUUGAGUCCUGAUGCAGGACCCGUUAGCCUUGGGUCUCUGCGCCAGACCCAAGAGCUUUUGGUCCUGACAUAGCCUAAAAAAUUAGGCUCUGAUGUAGGACUUAAGAGAUUCGGGUCUGACGAAGGAUCAAUAAUCUUGGGUCAAGCAUGUUUGCAAAAUCUAAGGGAUUUAAUUUUGCGCCUAGCAACACCUUAGAUCCUUAGGUGAUGCACCCUUUCUUACCCGAGUUUCUUAGGUUUGGAAAAAAAAACUAGACUCAAGAGGAAAGAAAAAAAAAUUAUUGGUAGGUCCUGCUAAGGGCACGACCCAACACUAAUGGAUCAUGUUAAAGACAGGACCCAUGGCUAAUGGGUCCAGUAGCUAUUUUGAAGUAAAGACCAAACUUAAUUUAUUUUUCUUGGGUGUGGUUGCACAACUACACCCAAUCUCAAUAUAUUUAAAAAAAUUAAAAAAAAUACAAAAUAUAAAAAUAUUAAUUUGAAAUAAAGAAAAUAAUAAAAGAAUUUCAAAAAACUUUCAAUGUAUUUUUGAAACGCAAAACCAAACAUCCUUUAAUAAGGAAACUCGACCCAACCUGAAAUAAAAAACAAUUAUCAUAACCUAACUUUUUUAUUCCUGUUGAUUUUUUUUCUUUGCUUUUUUUGUUAAUUAAUCUAAUUAAUUAUUGCACUUUUAUGACACGACCUUAUAGCCAGACCCAUAUCUAAUAUUCUUGGGUCCGGUGUUACGGCUAUACUCACUUAAACUUGGGUCAUACAAGUUUUAAUGUUAUUAUUAAUAUUAUAAAUAUUACUUUUACGUCAGAUGUUACAGCCAAACCCAAUAUUUUUUUGUAUAAUUUUGCAAAAAUACUUAAAAUUUUUAUAUUUUUUUAUAUUUUUUAUACAAAAACAUAACCUACGGCAUCAAGCAGGUCAUGUAAGUAAUAAUUUAUUAUUAGCUGAUAUCACGUGAGAAUAAUCUUCGUGCCCUUGGGAUGCAAGGCAAAUUAGGAUUUAUAUUCUCGUUCUGUCGUUUUCACUUUUUUUUUUUUUUUUGUUCUUGAAAUCAACACACGUUAUUUUGGUGUUUGUGAAACAAUGGGACAAGAGAUGGGUUACAAGUUUGUCAAGGAAAAAUAAAAGGUAGACGUCAUUGGAAUCAAUAAAAUAAGAAAUAGUUUGGCAAUGGAGUUGAAAUCAUGUUUUUAUAAAAUUAAUUUUUUUUAUUAAAAUUUAAUAUGAUCGGUAUAUUUUGGAUCGUUUUGAUGUGUUAAUAUUAAAAAUAAUUUUUUUAAAAAAAAUUAUUAAUAUAUAUUUCAAUAUAAAAAAUUAUUUAAAAAAUAAUCACUAUUAUAUUACCAAAUAUACUAUAAAUUAAAAAAGGAAAGCAAUAAGAUCCAAGUUCAAACACGAGCUAACAAAAGCCCUAUAAAUUCUUCACCAAUCGGGUCUCAUUUCCAUCAAAUUUCAUCGAUCCCAAUGAGACAAGAGAUGGAUUUAUAUUCUCGUUCUGUCGUUUUCACUUUUUAUUUUUAUUUUUCUUGAAAUCAACAAUUUUGCUGUUUGUGAAACAAUGAGAGAUGGGUUAUAAGUUUGUCAAGGAAAAACAAAAGGUCGACGUCAUUGAAAUUAAUAAAAUAAUUAAUGUUUGGAAAGUUGAAAUUAUAUUUUUAUAAAAUUUUAAAUUUUUUUUUAUUAAAAUUUAAUGUGAUUUAUAUGUUUUAGAUCGUUUUAAUAUACUGAUAUCAAAAAUAAUUUUUAAAAAAUAAAAAUAAUUAUUGAUAUAUAUUUUAAUAUAAAAAAUUAUUUAAAAAACAACAACAACCAUACUACUAAAUAUACUCUAAAUAAAAAAAGAAAAGCAAUAAGUCCAAGUUCAAACAGGAGCUAACAAAAGCCCUAUAAAUUCUUCACCAAUCGGGUCUCAUUUCCAUCAAAUUUCAUCGAUCCCAAGUUUGCGGAAGCAGCAGUUUCCAACCAAAAAACAAAAAUGGAAGAUUUUAUUUUCAGAGGGUUUCUGUCCUCUUCUUUACUUCUAUCUCUCUAUGUUGUGUUUAGAGUUGCUCAAACUUUUUGGCUGAAGCCGAAAAGCCAAGAGAAGCGUUUGAAGAAGCAAGGGAUCAGAGGCACUUCUUACAAGCUUUUGAAUGGUGAUAAGAAAGAGUUUGCAAGGUCUUCUAAAGAAGCUAGGUCCAGGCCCAUUGCUCUAAAUCAAGAAAUUGCACCACGUGUCCUUCCAUUCUUUUAUAAAAUGGUGCAAAUUUACGGUGAGCAGCAGCUUCACAAGCUAUCUCGUUUUUUCAGAUUUUUUAAUUAUUUCUAGGAAUUCUGUUCAUUCAUAUAUUUGGUAAUCGGUAUUAUCCUGAUUUGUAAUGCGAACGAGAACAGGAAAGGUCUCCCUGUGUUGGAUGGGGACAAGACCUAGCCUGCUAUUAGCUGAUCCAGAGCUGGUGAGGUUGGUGUUAACAGACACGAGUGGUCACAUUAUAAAGCCACCGCGAAAUGCCCUUGUGGGUCUAUUACAGCUGGGAGUCUCAACCUUGGAAGGAGACAAAUGGGCCAAGCGCAGAAGGUUGAUGACACCUGCCUUCCACGCUGAGAGAUUAAGGGUAACUUCACCUACCUGAAUCUUGCAAGUUUAAACAUUCUUAAGAAAUUUUUACAGCUUGCAUUUGAAAAUUUAGAAUCUAUUUGGACUUCUUUACAUUUUAUCAAUUGACCAAUGUGCUGCAUAAGCAAAAAUUGAUCCAGAAAACAUUCAUGAAUGUCAGCAAAUGGCAAGAAGGAGUGAUAGAGAGUUAUAUAAAUUAUAUUUUGAAACCUGUGAUUGAGCUAUUGAAUUGAGAUAGUUCUAUAAUAUAACAUGGUAUUCUAUUGGAUUCAGAUGGUUUUUUGACAAGUUGAGGUGAUGGUACAGCUAUACACACCAAAACGUGUACUGUAGUCAAACUUGAGAUGGAGGCUUGAAAGAAUUCUUGAAUUAUCAUAAAGAAACUUUGCGGGAACUAGUAUAGCCAUUUAACUUGUAUACAUGUUUUAUAAGGAUUUUCGGGUUCCAGAUCUUUAGCCUUCAAUCACUAGCUUUUUAACUUUUGAAUUGAAUCAACGGUUGAUAUGGUAUAAGAGUCUAUAUACUGAUUAGUCCUGGUAUGUGAACAGGGGAUGAUCCCAGCAUUUUCAGCCUGCUGUUGUGAUCUGGUUCAGCGAUGGAAGAAAUUAGCAGGUCCUCAGGGAUCAUGUGAAUUGGAUGUUGCAAGCGAAUUUAAUAUUCUUGCAAGUGAUGUUAUAGCUCGAGCAGCCUUUGGAAGCAGCUAUGAAGAGGGAAAGAAAAUAUUUGAUCUUCAAAAAGAUCAAGUUAUUUUGGUCCUUGAAGCUUUUUAUUCCAUUUACUUCCCUGGUUUGGGGUACAUAUUAAUGCCAUUUAUCUCUUGCAAAUUCAAGCUUCUCUUGGUGCUUGUUAAAAUUUUUAACCAAUGUCUGAUAAUACAUUAAAUCCCAGUUAAGAACAUUUCAUUUCUUUGCGCUUCUCCAACAGAUUCAUACCCUCUAAAAAGAACAAGAAGAGAUACAGUAUAGACAGAGAGAUAAAAGCAGCAUUGAGAAAUAUUAUCCAUAAGAAGGAGCGGGCCAUGCAAAAUGGAGACUCAGGCGAUGCUGACUUGCUAGGCUUGCUUUUACAGGGCAGGGAUGAUGCUGAUAAUGACAUGAAAAUUGAAGAUGUAAUCGAGGAAUGCAAGUUGUUCUUCUUUGCAGGCCAAGAGACCACAGCAAACUUACUCACUUGGACAUUGAUAGUUCUAUCUAUUCAUCCUGUCUGGCAAGAGAAAGCAAGAGAAGAAGUUUUGCAGAUUUGUGGCAAGAGAACACCUGAUAUCGAUAGUAUAAAACAACUCAGAAUUGUAAGUACUUCUUUUGUUCACGCAUUAAUUUACUAUGUUUAGUGAGCUACAGUCAACUCCUUGGAAACGAUUAUAAAUCCUUGGUUUAUGACACUAAAUAAAUUUGCAGGUCUCAAUGAUCUUAAACGAGGUACUAAGACUAUAUCCACCUGUGAAUCUUCUGUAUCGACAUACUCUAAAGGAAACAAGCAUUCGAGGAAUGUCCAUUCCAGCUGGGGUAGACCUCCUGUUACCAUUCCUGUUUAUUCACUAUGAUCCUGAGUAUUGGGGAGACAACGCAGAAGAAUUCAAACCAGAGAGAUUCUCUGAAGGAGUUUCAAAAGCAUCAAAGGAUGAAAUUGCAUUUUACCCUUUUGGCUGGGGCCCUAGAUUUUGUCUAGGCCAAAACUUUGCCUUGACUGAAGCAAAGAUGGCUCUUACUAUGAUUCUACAAAAUUUCUGGUUUGAGCUUUCACCCUCUUACACGCAUGCUCCUUUUAAUGUCAUAACUCUUCAACCACAACAUGGAGCUCCUAUUAUACUACACCAAUUAUAAGGUUUACAUAGUAGUUUAGUAUCUUAUGAAGGGAAGCAACUCAGUUGAAUGAGUCACAGCAGGUUGUCCCAAUGUUUUGUUGUCAACCAGGAACAAGUUGGUGCAGUGGAGAGUGUUGUUUCUAUGCAUAAUGUUGCCAUCUGCUAUUGUAUUAAAGUGAUUAUUCCUUUUCUUUCUUGUGGUUCUGAUGAUUGUUCAUAGUAUGUGCUUAUGAAAGCACCACCUAAUGGAGAAAGAUGCUUAUUUCCUUCAAUCUUUCAUUGUUCUCUGCUGCUUUCUCAUCUUCCAUUAAAGGGAGAGAGUACAAGUAACUCCUGGAACUUGUCCUCUCCGUUUUGUACCCUGUAAAAUAGAUAGAUACAUCCCAAAGAUUUGGCCUUUUAUAACUAUGACUUGUUAUCUUAAGACUCGAAUUAAAAUGGAGAUUUUUAAGGACCUCCAUUGUUCACAAGGUGCGCGAGGAACUCUGUUUUGGGUAUCCUCUGUUUUUUUUAUGUAGCCAUGAUUGCUGUAAUUUAACCUCUUCAAUAGUUUAAUUAUCUCUGAUUUUUUAACUUUUUAGAAUUGAUACAAACUUUCAAUUUCUUCAAUUUUACCCCCGAUUUUUAUCAAUUUCACCCUUAAAGGUUAGUGCUUGUUACGGAUUGGUCCCUGAUCUCGGAUUUUUUCAAUUUAACCCCUAAUUGACCCCAAAACUUCAAUCUUCUUGCAAUUUGGCCCCCAAUUUCAAUCAAUUAACUUGGUAAAAAUUAAAUUUGAUCUUUUAAAAUUCCAAUCUUCUCAAUUAAGCUCAAAUUAAGCUCCCAAACUUAAUGUUUCACCAAUUAAGCCUAAAAUAAAAUUAAUUUGACCCCUUUAAAGUAUAAUUAAGUCCUUGCACUUACUUAAACCCUUCAAUUGGACCCAAAUUAAUUCUUAAACAUAAUUAAAAUUCAAUUUGGCCCAUGAUUAAAUCAAAUUGGCCUAUUAAAAAUUUAAUUAUGUCCUUGGACUUAAUGUUUCACCAAUUAAGCCCAAAAUAAAAUUAAUUUGACCCAUUUAAAGUAUAAUUAAGUCCUUACACUUAAUUAAAUCCUUCAAUUGGAUCCAAAUUAAUUCCUAAACAUAAUUAAAAUUCAAUUUGGCUCAUGAUUAAAUCAAAUUGGCUUAUUAAACAUUUAAUUAUAUCCUUGGACUUAAUUUUUAUGCAAAUCCAUCCAAUAAUCAUUUAACUUUACCUUCAAUUUGCAUUUUUUUUUUUAAUUUUUGGGCAUAAUGGGGUACAAUUAGGCCUUGAAUCUCCUCCAAAAAAUUGCAGCUUGAUUCCCCGGCCUACUUUCUCUAUAUUGCCAGUCUUUAUUUUAUUUUUUAUUUUUAUUUUGAAAAACAAGUUAUUUUUGGAGAAUAACCCAGAAUUGGGUUAUGACAAUAUUAAUUAAUUUAUUAACUAGAAGAAAUAUAAAUACCUCAUGCAUUUUUUAUAUAAAUAGUGAAACACCUCUUCUUCUAUUUCUUUUUUUAAAAUUUUUAAAUCUUUUUUUUUUAUAGACUCUUCUACAAUUAAAUUUGCUAAAAUUAUAUUCUUUGUUCUCCCCCCCCCCUUCAAUUUAGCCCUUUUUUUUAUUUUUUUCAUUUUAAUUUUAUUAUUUUUUCUCAAUUUCAUCAUUAGAUUUUUAUUUUUUUUUACAAUUAUCUAGCAUGGUUUUGGACUAAUCAAGUUAAUUAGAUCAUAUCGAUACAACUUUUACAUGAUUUAAUUUUAAACACGAGCCAAACAAGGAGUCGAGUGGAGAGCUUUUUCUUUUAAUUUCAUUGGUUUUUUUCUAAAAACUUUUCUCAAACUUUUUUUAUUUAUCAGGUGAGUUGUUUUUGGAUCGAAGAAGCAGAUUAGAUCAUGCCAAAAAACUAUCAUAUUAUUUAAUUUUAAAUCCGGGUUAGGCAUAAAAUUGGAUCGAAAUGCUUAUUUCCUUCAAUCUGUUAUUGUUCUCUGCUGCUUUCUCAUCUUCGAUUCAAGGGAGAGUGAAAAUAACUCCUGGAACUUGUCCUUUCCUUUUUGUACCCAGUAAAAUAGAUAGAUACAUCCCAAAGAUUUGGCUUUUUAUUACUAUGACUUACUAUCUAAAGACUAAAAAAAAAAAGGAGUUUUUUAUGGACCUUCACUGUUUAUAAGGUGCGUGAAUAACUUUGUUCUGGGUGUCCUCUGUUUUUUUUUUUAGCCAUGAUUGCAAUAAUUUAACCUCUUCAAGUUUUAAUUCUCUCUUAUUUUUUAACCUUUUAGAAUUGAUAAAAAUUAUAACACAAAUAAUUAUAUUUAAAAACUUAAAAUUAAAAAAACCUUGGAUCCUAACACAAAACUUAUUAGCCUUGGUCCUAUGUUAGAAUCCAAGAGAUUGGAUCCUAACAAAAGACCAAUAGUAUUGGGUUAGGCAAUGCUGUAGACCCAAAAAAUUUGGGUUUGCGUCCUAGCUAUACCUAAACUCCCUUGGACAUCGCCUUCUUUUUUUAAUUUGGUAAUGGCAAUAACAAUAAUAAAAAAAGUGAUAAUAAUUCUUAAUUUUACCCUUCCAAUCAAAUCUUUUAUUAUUUUUCAAUAUUAAAAAUAUUUUAUAUAAAUUUAUUAAUAAUUAUAUGAAUAAUAUUAAUUGUAAUACAAAUUAUAUUAUUUAUAAUAAAAAUAAUAGUAGGUUUAAUAUUAAUGAUAUUAAUUUUAAAACAAAUCAUAAUAUUUAUAUCAUAAAUAAUAAUAUUUUUCAUACUAAUAAUUUUAAUUAUAAUAAAAAUAAUAAUAUUUAUCAUAUUAAUAAUAGUAUUGAACUUGUCUGACCUUUAUUAACAAUAAUAAUAAUAAUUGAUAUUUUUUUUCAUUUUUCUUCUUUUCCCGCGCUAUACCGCGGACUCACCUUUUAUUUUAAUAAAAUAAUAUUAUAAAAAUCUAAGACCCAAAAGCAUUGGGUUUGGUUACAACGUCGAACCCAAGAGCAUUGAGUCUAGCUGCAACACCAAACCCUAUAAUAAUAUUUAUAAUAUUAGUAAUAAUAUUUAACUUGUCUUUCAAAAACAAAUUUAAUCUUUAAAAAAUUUUUGGUUUUUCUUUGAUAGUAAUAAUAGUUUUUUAAAAUUUAAUAAUAAUAAUAAUUAAUAUAUUAUUAUUAUUAUUAUUAACUUUACACUUCAAAUCAAAUCUAUGGUUGUUUUUCAAUAUUGAUAAUAUUUGUUUUCAAAUUUAUUAAUUAUUUUAUUAAUAAUAUUAAUUAUGAUAAAAAUAAUAAUAUUUAUAACACAAAUAAUACUAUUUUUAAUAUUAAUACUUUAAAUUAUAAUAAAAAUACUAAUAUUUAUAACAAAAAUAAUUAUAUUUUUUAGAUUAAUACUUUAAUUAUAAUAAAAAUAAUUAUAAUUAUAAUUAUAAUACAAAUAAUUAUAUUUAAAAACUUAUGACCCAAGAACCUUGAGUCAUAACGCAGGACCCAUUAACCCUAGGUCCCGACACCACACCUAAGAGCUUUUGGUCCUGACACAACCCAAAAUAUUAGGUCCUGAUGCAGGACUUAAAAGAUUCGGUUCUGAUGAAGGAUCAAUAAUCUUCGGUCAAACGGGUCUGCAAAGACCUAAAGAAUUUAAGUAUGCGCCUAGCAACACCCAAGAUCCUUAGGUGAGGCACCCUUUCCUACCCCAAGUUUCUUAGGUUUGGAAAAGAAUGCUGGACUCAAGAGAAAAGAAAAAGAAAUGAAAAAGCAAUUAUUGGUGGAUCCUGCUAAGAGCAUGACCCAACAUUGAUGGAUCAUAUUAAGGACAGGACCCACAGCUAAUGGGUUCAACGGCGGCUGGACCCAAAGCUAUUUUGAAGUGAAGACCAAACUUAAUAUAUUUCUCUUGGGUGUGGUUGUACAAUUAGACCCAAUCUCAAUAUAUUUAAAAAUAAAAUUAAAAAAAUACAAAACAUAAAAAAUAUUAAUUUGAAGUAAAGAAAACAAUAAAAGAAUUUCAAAAAACUUUCAAUGUAUUUUUGGAAAGCAAAACCAAACAUGCUUUAAUAAGGAAAUUCGACCCAACCUGAAAUGAAAAAAAUAAUUAUCGUCACCUAACUUUUGUAUAAUAUAAAACAAAAUCACAUUAAUUUAUUUUCUCUUUACACUAUGAAAAAAAAAUCAAUAAGAGAAGAAAAAAAAUUUCAAGAGAGAAAAAAAUAAAAUUAGAAAUAUCUUAAAAUAUUUUUUAAAAAUUAUAUUGAGAUAAUAUUUUUUAUUGUUUUAAAUCCAUUUUUUAUAUAAUCACAUAAAAAAUAAUACAAAAUAUCUUAAUAUGAAUUAAAGGAAAAAAAUAUUAAUUUAAAGUUAAAAAAAUAAUCUUGUUAUAAAAUUUAUUAACAAUAACAAUAACAAUAAUUGUUAUUACUUAUUAUAUUUUUUUUCAUUUUUUUUCAAAUCUGUUAUUUUUCUAUAUAGGUCUGUAGACCUAGCAACAUAGGUCUGCUACCCCUGGGGGAGCCUGCAGACUCCAGACUUGGCAUAACAAAACUCAAGCGUGCCUAGCCGUGUGGGUAUGCAACCUCUAAAGGGGUCUGUAGACCCCAAACAUGGCAAAAAAUACCCAGGGGCGGGUCUGUACCCCGCUUCCAGUUAUGCCAACCCAAGUGCGGGGUUCUGCAAAUCUAGGCAAGAGGGUCUGCGACCCUAGAGGCAAGGGUCUGCAAUCGCGAGUAGGCUUGCAGACCCCACACAUGCGAGUUUGCAGACCCACUUGCCUGUGUCGACAGACAUGCACUUUGGUUCUACCGCUCGCGCUGGUUUGCACCCACCACCUGGGUAUGCAGCCCUUGCGCGCGGUUUAACAGACUUGCCCGCCUAGGUUUGCAACCUCGUGUCCGUGCCAGUCUCAACACCAUGUUUCUGCAACUUGGGGCCUGCGGUCCCACUUGACGCGCAACCACCUAGGGCUUGGCAUCCCCAGCAUCAUGUCUGCAGCCUAGGGUUUGGAGUCCCACUUGGCAAGCGGGUACCCAGGGCUUUGUCAGCCCAGCAUCAAGUGUCUGUAGCCACACCAAAAUUAGAGCUAACCUUGGGAAGUGGAUCUGCAGCCUCAUUGUGCUCCCACCCACCAAGCAUUAUAAUUUAUAGUGAAAUCACUUAUAAUUCACAAUAACUCUUCUUAACUAGUGCAAUCCACAAAUAAAACGUUUUUAAUUCAUAAUUUCUUUCGUUGUAAUAAAAUAAUGUUAAUAUUUUUAGUUAUAGUUAAGUAAUACUCUAAAAGGCGUGGGAAAACUACUGUAGCUUUCCGACGCCUUUUACUAAUAUAUUUACUUAUUAAUAUAUUAUAUAACUGUUAUUUUAUUUUAUUUUGUUUUUUGUUUUUUUAAUGAAUUUUUUUUAUUUGAUUUAGUUUGUUAAUGUUAAUUUUUUUUUAUUUAGUUAUCAGAUUUUCAUGAUACAGAUCCCGGAUUUGAUAGGUUAACCUAAUUUGACGAGUUAACCCGGAUUUUUUUUAAUUAUUUUUUUCAUUUAAUUUAGUUUGUUAAAGUUAAUUUUCUUUCUAUUUAAUUAUCAGACUUUCAUGACACGUAUCCUAGGCUUAACGGGUUAACUUGGUUUGAUGGGUUAACUCAGUUAAUUCUGGGUAAACCCAUCAUUUGUUUUUCUAUUUAGUUAUCAAACUUUCAUGACGUGAAUCCCAGGUUUUACGGGAUAACCUGAUUUAAAGGGUUAACCCAAUUAAUUCAAUUUUUUUUCUUUUUCUUCAUGUUGAUUUUUUUUUUUAAUUAAUCUAUUUAAUUAUUACACUUUUAUAACAAGACCUUAUAGCCAUACCCACAUCCAAUAUUUUUGGGUCCGUUGUUGCAGUCAUGCUCACUUAAACUUGGAUUAUACAAGUUUAAUGUUAUUAUUAAUAUUAUCAAUAUUACUCUUACGUCAGGCUUUGCAGCUAAACCCAAGAUUUUUGGAUAUAAUUUUACAGAAAAAUUUAAAAAUUUUAAAUUUUUAUUUUUUUAUAUUUUUUAUAUAAAAAAAUAAACCGCGACAUCGCAAGGAUGAUAUACCUAGUAAUCUAUUAUUAGCGUAUAUCACGUGAGAAUAAUCUUCGUGCCCUUGGGCUGCAAGGCAAAUUAGGAUUUAUAUUCUCGUUCUGUCGUUUUCACUUUUUAUUUUUUUUGUUCUUGAAAUCAAUACACGUUAUUUUGGUUUUUCUGAAACAAUGAGACAAGAGAUGGGUUAUAAGUUUGUCAAGGAAAAACAAAAGGUCGACGUCAUUGGAAUCAAUAAAAUAAAUAAAGACAGGAAAGCAAUAAGGUUCAAGUUCAAACAGGAGCUAACAAAAGCCCUAUAAAUUCUUCACCAAUCGGGUCUCAUUUCCAUCAAAUUUCAUCGAUCCCAAGUUUGCUGAAGCAGCAGUUUCCAACCAAAAAACAAAAAUGGAAGAUUUUAUUUUCAGAGGGUUUCUGUCCUCUUCUUUACUUCUAUUCUCUAUGUUGUGUUUAGAGUUGCUCACACUUUUUGGCUGAAAGCCGAAAAGCCAAGAGAAGCGUUUGAGAAGCAAGGGAUCAGAGGCACUUCUUACAAGCUUUUGAAUGGUGAUAAGAAAGAGUUUGCAAGGUCUUCUAAAGAAGCUAGGUCCAGGCCCAUUGCUCUAAAUCAAGAAAUUGCACCACGUGUCCUUCCAUUCUUUUAUAAAAUGGUGCAAAUUUACGGUGAGCAGCAGCUUCACAAGCUAUCUCAUUUUUUCAGAUUUUUUUAUUAUUUCUAGGAAUUUCUGUUCAUACAUUAUUUGGUAAUCGGUAUUAUCCUGAUUUGUAAUGCGAACGAGAACAGGAAAGGUCUCCCUGUGUUGGAUGGGGACAAGACCUAGCCUGCUAUUAGCUGAUCCAGAGCUGGUGAGGUUGGUGUUAACAGACACGAGUGGUCACAUUAUAAAGCCACCGCGAAAUGCCCUUGUGGGUCUGUUACAGCGGGGAGUCUCAACCUUGGAAGGAGACAAAUGGGCCAAGCGCAGAAGGUUGAUGACACCUGCCUUCACGCUGAGAGAUUAAGGGUAACUUCACCUACCUGAAUCUUGCAAGUUUAAACAUUCUUAAGAAAUUUUUACAGCUUGCAUUUGAAAAUUUAGAAUCUAUUUGGACUUCUUUACAUUUUAUCAAUUGACCAAUGUGCUGCAUAAGCAAAAAUUGAUCCAGAAAACAUUCAUGAAUGUCAGCAAAUGGCAAGAAGGAGUGAUAGAGAGUUAUAUAAAUUAUAUUUUGAAACCUGUGAUUGAGCUAUUGAAUUGAGAUAGUUCUAUAAUAUAACAUGGUAUUCUAUUGGAUUCAGUUGGUUUUUUGACAAGUUGAGGUGAUGGUACAGCUAUACACACCAAAACGUGUACUGUAGUCAAACUUGAGAUGGAGGCUUGAAAGAAUUCUUGAAUUAUCAUAAAGAAACUUUGCGGGAACUAGUAUAUCCAUUUAACUUGUAUGCGAUGUUUUAUAAGGAUUUUCGGAUUCCAGAUCUUUAGCCUUCAAUCACUAGCUUUUUAACUUUUGAAUUUCAAUCACUAGCUUUUUAACUUUUGAUUGAAUCAACGUUUGAUGGUAUUGGGCUGGUUUGUGAACAGGGGAUGAUCCCAGCAUUUUCAGCCUGCUGUUGUGAUCUGGUUCAGCUGCAGGUCCUCAGGGAUCAUGUGAAUUGGAUGUUGCAAGCGAAUUUAAUAUUCUUGCAAGUGAUGUUAUAGCUCGAGCAGCCUUUGGAAGCAGCUAUGAAGAGGGAAAGAAAUAUUUGAUCUUCAAAAGGAUCAAGUUAUUUUGGCCCUUGAAGCUUUUUUUCCAUUUACUUCCCUGGUUUGGGGUAUUAAUGCCAAUCUCUUGCAAAUUCAAGCUUCUCUUGGUGCUUGUUAAAAUUUUUAACCAAUGUCUGAUACAUUAAAUCCCAGUUAACAACAUUUCAUUUCUUUGCGCUUCUCCAACAGAUUCAUACCCUCUAAAAAGAACAAGAAGAGAUACAGUAUAGACAGAGAGAUAAAAGCAGCAUUGAGAAAUAUUAUCCAUAAGAAGGAGCGGGCCAUGCAAAAUGGAGACUCAGGCGAUGCUGACUUGCUAGGCUUGCUUUUACAGGGCAGGGAUGAUGCUGAUAAUGACAUGAAAAUUGAAGAUGUAAUCGAGGAAUGCAAGUUGUUCUUCUUUGCAGGCCAAGAGACCACAGCAAAUUUACUCACCUGGACAUUGAUAGUUCUAUCUAUGCAUCCAGUCUGGCAAGAGAAAGCAAGAGAAGAAGUUUUGCAUAUUUGUGGCAACAGAGCACCUGAUAUCGAUAGUAUAAAACAACUCAGAAUUGUAAGUACUUCUUUUGUUCACGCAUUAAUUUAUCAUGUUUUGUAAGCUACAGUCAACUCCUUGGAAACGAUUAUAAAUCCCUGGUUUAUGAAACUAAAUAAAUUUGCAGGUCUCAAUGAUCUUAAACGAGGUACUAAGACUAUAUCCACCUGUGAAUCUUCUGUAUCGACAUACUCUAAAGGAAACAAGCAUUCGAGGAAUGUCCAUUCCAGCUGGAGUAGACCUCCUGUUACCAUUCCUGUUUCUUCACUAUGAUCCUGAGUAUUGGGGAGACAACGCAGAAGAAUUCAAACCAGAGAGAUUCUCUGAAGGAGUUUCGAAAGCAUCAAAGGAUGAAAUUGCAUUUUACCCUUUUGGUUGGGGCCCUAGAUUUUGUCUAGGCCAAAACUUUGCCUUGACUGAAGCAAAGAUGGCUCUUACUAUGAUUCUACAAAAUUUCUGGUUUGAGCUUUCACCCUCUUACACGCAUGCUCCUUGUAAUGUCAUAACUCUUCAACCACAACAUGGAGCUCCUAUUAUACUACACCAAUUAUAAGGUUUACAUAGUACUUUGGUGUCUUAGGAAGGGAAGCAACUCAGUUGAAUGAGUCACAGCAGGUUGUCCCAAUGUUUUGUUGUCAACCAGGAACAAGUUGGUGCAGUGGAGAGUGUUGUUUCUAUGCAUAAUGUUGCCAUCUGCUAUUGUAUUAAAGUGAUUAUUCCCUUUGCUUUCUUUUGGUUCUGAUGAUUGUUCAUAGUUUGUGCUUCUGAAAACACCACCUAAUGGAGAAAGAUGCUUAUUUCCUUCAAUCUUUUAUUGUUCUCUGCUGCUUUCUCAUCUUCCAUUCAAGGGAGAGAGCACAAGUAACUCCUGGAACUUGUCCUUUCCUUUUUGUACCCAGUAAAAUAGAUAGAUACAUCCCAAAGAUUUGGCUUUUUAUUACUAUGACUUGUUAUAUUAAGACUCGAAUUAAAAUGGAGAUUUUUAUGGACCUCCACUGCU